AUUGAACGCUGGCGGCAUGCUUUACACAUGCAAGUCGAACGGCAGCGCGGGCUUCGGCCUGGCGGCGAGUGGCGAACGGGUGAGUAAUGCAUCGGAACGUGCCCAGUAGUGGGGGAUAGCCCGGCGAAAGCCGGAUUAAUACCGCAUACGACCUGAGGGUGAAAGCGGGUGACCGAAAGGCCUCGCGCUAUUGUAGCGGCCGAUGUCGGAUUAGCUAGUUGGUGGGGUAAAGGCUUACCAAGGCGACGAUCCGUAGCUGGUCUGAGAGGACGACCAGCCACACUGGGACUGAGACACGGACCAGACUCCUACGGGAGGCAGCAGUGGGGAAUUUUGGACAAUGGGGGCAACCCUGAUCCAGCCAUGCCGCGUGCGGGAAGAAGGCCUUCGGGUUGUAAACCGCUUUUGUUCGGGAAGAAAUCCUCUGGGCUAAUACCCCGGGGGGAUGACGGUACCGGAAGAAUAAGCACCGGCUAACUACGUG
rnacentral:rRNA from 1 species